rnacentral:sRNA from 1 species
UACCAAGUUUCUUCCUGCUUCUCAAAGCUUUGAUGGUGUAGCAGGACUCCGUAUGAGUCUUUGGCUUUGCAUCUUCUAACAAGGAAACACUACUUAGGCUUUUACAAUUCGACCUGACUUUGAUCCUAGGAUUAGAGGAUCCUUAGGUUCUGCUUCCAUAUCAAGCACAACGAAAUACGUAGGCACUUCCACUCCAUUAAUCAUUACUGGUAGAUCUUUUAGCAGGCCGAAGGGUUUUCUUGAAAACCUAUCAGCAAAGAUCAAAGUAAGGUCGCAAGGCCUGUACUGAGUGAAUUCCAGCUUCCUUGCCACA